ACGGUAAAUCUGCCGUCACAGACUUCGAAGGUUCGAGUUGAGCGCAGCGAAACAACAAUGCGGCGCUUGCGACGCGUUGGCCCGCAGGGCGAGGAACGCAGUGACGAGUCAUCCUUCCCCCA
rnacentral:sRNA from 1 species